rnacentral:lncRNA from 1 species
AUUCAAACAUGACCAACUGACCUCUGGUUGUAGGGAUGUCUUGAAGAUGCUGAAGAACAAACACAGAGUUCAGAGGAUGGAAGAAACUGUUAUACCAUCUACAAUGAUUUGAAAUGCCAUUUGCAACUGCAGUUGACCGUGGGUUAUUGAAACCACAGAAAGUGAAACUGGAUAACGAAGGGAAACACUAUCCCAGCCUCAACAAGGAGCUUGAUUUGGGCACAGAAACAGGAGAAAGAGACCUGCCUUGCCUCCCU